rnacentral:piRNA from 1 species
UGAAACCUCUGACUACCAUGAAAUAUAAG